GCGAAAGUGGCGGAAUUGGUAGACGCACUGGAUUUAGGUUCCAGCGCCGUAAGGUGUGGGGGUUCGAGUCCCCCCUUUCGCACCA
rnacentral:tRNA from 1 species